rnacentral:rRNA from 1 species
UACGGGGGGGCAAGCGUUGUUCGGAAUUACUGGGCGUAAAGGGCUCGUAGGCGGCCAACUAAGUCGGACGUGAAAUCCCCAGGCUCAACCUGGGAACUGCGUCUGAUACUGGAUGGCUUGAAUCCGGGAGAGGGAUGCAGAAUUCCAGGUGUAGCGGUGAAAUGCGUAGAUAUCUGGAGGAACACCGGUGGCGAAGGCGGCAUCCUGGACCGGUAUUGACGCUGAGGCGCGAAAGCCAGGGGAGCAAACGGGG